CCUACGGGAGGCAGCAGUGAGGAAUAUUGGUCAAUGGACGCGCGUCUGAACCAGCCAAGUAGCGUGAAGGAUGACUGCCCUAUGGGUUGUAAACUUCUUUUAUAAAGGAAUAAACCGAGGCACGUGUGCCUUUUUGCAUGUACUUUAUGACUAAGGAUCGGCUAACUCCGUGCCAGCAGCCGCGGUAAUACGGAGGAUCCGAGCGUUAUCCGGCUUUAUUGGGUUAAAAGGGAGCGUAUAUGGGUUGUUAAGUCAGUUGUGAAAGUUUUCGGCUCAACCCCGUCGUGGCGUUGAAAAUGAUGUUCUUGAGUGGGCGAGAAGUAUGCGGAAUGCGUGGUGUAGCGGUGAAAUGCAUAGAUAUCACGCAGAACUCCGAUUGCGAAGGCAGCAUACCGGCGCCCAACUGACGCUGAAGCACGAAAGCGUGGGUAUCGAACAGGAUUAGAUACCCGGGUAGUC
rnacentral:rRNA from 1 species